rnacentral:rRNA from 1 species
AGUGAACGCUGGCGGUAGGCCUAACACAUGCAAGUCGAACGGCAGCACAGUAAGAGCUUGCUCUUACGGGUGGCGAGUGGCGGACGGGUGAGGAAUACAUCGGAAUCUACUUUUUCGUGGGGGAUAACGUAGGGAAACUUACGCUAAUACCGCAUACGACCUACGGGUGAAAGCAGGGGAUCUUCGGACCUUGCGCGAUUGAAUGAGCCGAUGUCGGAUUAGCUAGUUGGCGGGGUAAAGGCCCACCAAGGCGACGAUCCGUAGCUGGUCUGAGAGGAUGAUCGGCCGCCCUGGAACUGAACCACGGUCCAGACUCCUACGGGAGGCAGCAGUGGGGAAUAUUGGACAGUGGGCGCAAGCCUGAUCCAGCCAUACCGCGUGGGUGAAGAAGGCCUUCGGGUUGUAAAGCCCUCUUGUUGGGAAAAAAAAGCAGCAGGUUAAUACCCCGCUGUUCUGACGGUACCCAAAGAAUAAGCACCGGCUAACUUCGUG